CUUCUGACCAAUCUUGAUGCCUUUAUAUGAGCAAGGACAUGAAUUAACAAGAUGUCCUACCUCUGGAUGGCGCUCUCAUCUACUCCAGUUCCAGAUUGCUGAGAUUACGGCUGCUUCUAAGGACAAACAGACUUCAUAUAAAUCCAUAAUGAACUUUUUCACACUAUCUGUUGUUACCCAGAUGAGGAUGGGUUCCCUUCUGAGUCUGGUUCCUCUCAAGGUUUCUUCCUUUUAACAUCUUAGGGAGUUUUUCCUUGCCACCGUCGCCACCGGCUCACUCAGUUGGGAUAAAUUCGCACUUUUAAUAUCUGUGUGCCGUGUUGAUAUUUCUGUAAAGCUGCUUUCAGACAAUGUCUAUUGUAAAAAGCGCUAUACAAAUAAAAGUGAAUUGAAUUGAA